rnacentral:lncRNA from 10 species
GUUUUUUCCAAAGAUUCACCAGCCUCUGCCUAGGAAAAGCGCAGGCAUAUAAAAAGACCCUGUGCCCAUGAACAGGAGCUUUUUAUCAUCACCCAGUCUGGAGGGAGGCCAGAAUGCCUCUCUCUGUGUAUCUCUUUUGCCUGGACCUGAGAACAUGUCAGCAUUUCAAUGCAUUUAUCCAGGUUCCAUUCCCAUUUUUCCCAUUUUCCUCUAAACAGGCUGCCUCUACUCUCCAAGUUGACUCCAUUCAAUCUCUUGCGGCUGCUGCUUCCCUAACUCUGAGUCCUUGCCUUCUGCUACAUUUGGUUACAAUUAACGUCCAGCUUGUCUUCUAGACCUCACCUGCUCUGGGCUCUGGACCCAGAUAGGCACCAGCAAUACUUCUCCGAGGAGUGUGCUUCCCAUUCAGCAAUGAUUGUGAGUUUCCUGAGGCCUCCCCAGCCAAGUGGAACUGUGAGUCCAUUAAACCUCUUUUCUAAGUUACUUAUAUAUAAGUGUGAAAAUGGACUAAUACAGCUGUCUUUUAAAAACUACAAACAUAGGAACUCAAAUGCUUUCAACCUAAUUCACCAAAGGCAAUGUAAUCACCUGGUAGACCAUGCCUUUAAUUCAGUUGUCCUUCCACUGUUCAAAACAUCCUUGGAACUCAUUUUUUAAAAAUUAUCUUCAGAGAAUGUAGCAUCUUCUGGAUAUCCUGAAUGCAUGAAGUUUUCAAACUUUUAGUGUAAGUAUGAUUUUUGAAAGCAGUUAAAGACCGUGAUGCUAGUGUAGUAAAUGUGGUCAGGUCUAAAGCUAAAUACAAUUUGUUCAUAGUGUUAAAGGAAGUGCAAUCAUAAAGUCAAGGGAUAUUUUUGGAAGUGAUUAUAAAAAUGGCUCUGAAUGGAGCUAGAUUUUACUGAUGGCAGCAUCCUCAGGGAUAACUGAAUGGCUUCCCAAAGUAAACUUUUGAGGGGGCCAAAAAUUUAACUCUGUUACUUUACUCUGUAGUUGUCAUGCAUUUUAUGAGAUGCUGACACUUACCCUUUCCAUAAUAGAUACUGGUAAAAUAGCCUCUUCCCAGCUGCAACCUCUACCACCACCAAGUUUACAGUAUGCAUAGAAAUGGUAUGGGGUUGCUGAAGAAAGAAAGGAAACAAAUUCAUGCUCAAGUAGAGCAACUUCUUACACCUCUAGCAGAGAAAUGAUAAGGCUUCUGAGACCAUCAUGAGGAAGGGAUGGAGCCCAGAAAUGUCUUUCUACAGUGCACCCUAGUUCCACCCACUGGACCCCCGCAGUGGAUCAGCAUACUCCUCAGAGAGCUAUUGCUGGUGCCCAUCUGGCAUGCUGAUUAAAAAGCAAUACGUACGCCAUGAUGUCUUUGGAACCAUUGUCUGAUGUGGAGGGGAACUGUGUCAAUAAAUCAUGAUAACAGUUAAUUCAAGUAAUAAAUACUUUUAUGGUUGAAUAUUAUAUUAUUUGUUUUUAAGUCUGGCUGAUAUCUAUUAUAAUGAGAUUUUCCUUUACUAUUCCAUUUCAUUAUAAUUGACAGUAUUUGUGUGAAAUAUUGAGGGAGCUCUGAUAGCCACAUUCAAAAAUAUAGUCAAGGUCUGUCAUGGGGCAUCCCAUCUAAGACAGAGCCCUCGGGGACAAGCCACAAGGGCGCAUACUGAAACAGAACCCUGGGGAACGCCUGAGCUAAUAUCAAAUCAUAAGACAAGAAGCAAACUUAUGUUCAAUAAAAUUUGAUGGGGGCAUCUUGAGAGACAAUGGUAAGGUCUUGAGGUUGCUGUUUAAACAGUAUGGAAAUGGAUAAGAAAUCACUGCCUCAGAUUUGGUUGGUAGCCAAUAAAGGCUUAGGGAUUAGCAAAAAGUUAGAAACUAUUGAAAAUAAUGAAAAGAUAGGAUCUAGCCUUCACCAUCUCUAUACAAAAUAAAUUAAUUUAAAUUAGUACAAUCCUAGGAGGUCCUUCCCAUCAACUACGAUCAUGAGCAAGCAAAUAGUUAAAAUGGAACCAUGUGUUGUUUCACGUAAAGAAAAAGGCUUGAGUUUUUGGUAACAGUUCUACCUGUAAAAUAGUAAAGCUGUAGAUACCUAUAGCAUUGAUGAUGGCAGGGGGGAGAUGAUAUUAUGUCAGUGACAGCGAGCCAAGCCCCAUCUAAAAGAAAGGUAAGCUGGGAGUUUUACUUAAAAAGCCUACCUAAAUUGACAGCUCUCACAGAAUGCACUGGAAUUUGGGGGUAAAGAUAGAAUCUUCCCUCAGGUUUGAAAAACAAGCUCUUAUUCACAUUUUCUAUUUUCCCAUUGACAUGAAAAUUGCCUAAGAAAAGUAGACGAGAUCCCAGGGGCACACUGCUUUUCAACUUGAAUCUUUGCCUUCCCUUUUCAUUUUUUACUUACAGUGAGUACAUGCAUGUAUGCAUGCACAUGUGUAUGUGUGUGUACACGUUUGUGGGGGCGGGGAGGUUGUCCAUGGAGAUUUUCUCUUAAAGGAAAGCCUAUUUCCCUCAGCGGUAGGAAAAUUGAAGCCUGCACCCUCCUAAUACAAGACCUACUCUUUUCUUUAAAACAUAGAAGACUUAUCUUUUGAAAUGGGGUAGCCGCUUAAGGAAUAGAUAAAUUCCCUGCGAUAUUUACUCCCAGAAAGAAAAAAAUAGUAUAAAGAAUAAUUUUAAUACUUGGGUCACUGAGAUUUUGGAAUGAGCCUCAGGCUGUUUCAGAGAGAAGUCUGUGUAUUCAGGUUGCAUGGAGAGCUGUGUUUAUUUGGAAAGGCAAAUUAUAUAUGAUAUACUUGGUGUUAUUCAGUGUGCAAAAUGCUACAAAAGCCUACUGUAUGCAUACUUACUUGUUAUACCCACAUUUCAUUAAACCUCACAGACAUUGUUACCCAUAGUUCACACUCUGGACUGCCAAGGGGUUACCACCCAUUUCCUAAUAUACCAAAGAUACCCCAAAAGAGAUAUGACGGGCAGAUGUAACCCUCUUUUUCAACUACUAUGGCAUCUUUAAGCAUUUAAACUACUAUCACAUCUCUAAGUAUUUAGGGAGUGUGAUUAUUAAUGUUGUACCUCAACUUGACUGGGCCAUGGGGUGCCCAGACGUUUGAUCAGACAUUCCUCUGGGUGUUUGCCUGCCAGGGUAUUAUUGGAAGAAACUUGCAUUUGCAUCAGGAGACUGAGUACGGUAGAUUGCCCUCCCUAAUGUGGGUCGGCGUUGUCCAAUCAGUUGACAGCCUGGAUAGAACAAAAUGGCACAGUAAGAGAGAGCUCCUCCUGUUUGACUGCUGAGUUGGGACAUCAGUCAUUUCUGAACUUCAGACUAGGACUGAAAUAUCAACUUUUGUUGGGUCUCGAGCCUGCCAGCUUUCAGACUGGACCUUACACCAGUGGCUCCCCUGUUCUCAGGCUUUCAGACCUGGACUGGAACCACAUGUGGACUCUCUUGUUCUGCCAAUUGCAGAACUUGAGGCCUCUUGGGCUCCAUAUCACAUGAGCUAAUUCCCGAUAAUAAAUAUGUGUGUGUGCAUGUGUGUAUGUGUGUGUGUGUUUGUCUUGUUGGUUCUGGUUCUCUAGAGAACCCUGACUAAUAUAGGAAGUAAGGGGUAAAACUAAGAUACAUUUCCUUAGUUAUAAAAUGAAAAAAAUAAGCUAAAUCAUAUAAUUAUUUUGAUGCUUACAUGAGAUGUUACAUUUCUUGUUAGAUACUUGUAUUAGUCUAUUCUCACAUUGCUAUAAAUAAAUACCUGAGACUGGGUAAUUCAUAAAGGAAGGAGGUUUAAUUGUCCCGCGGUUCUGCAGGCUAUACAGGAAGCAUGGUGCUGGCAUCUGCUCAGCUUCUUGGGAGGCUUCAGGAUCUUACAAUCAUGGCAGAAGACAAAGAGGAAACAGGCACAUCACAUGGCCAGAGCAGGAGCAAGAAAGAGAGAGGGAAGUGCCACACAUGUUUAAACAGCCAGAUCUCAUGAGGACUCACUGUACAGUACCAAAGAAGGAUGGUGCUAAAUCAUUUAAGAAAAUCCGCCCCCAUGAUCGAAUCACCUCUCACCAGGUCCCACCUCCAACACUGGGGAUUUAAUUGAACAUGAGAUUUGGGUGAGGACACAGAUCCAAACCAUAUCAGUACUCCACACUGUGUUAGGUGUAAAGAAAACCUAACCAGUGGUUCCCCAACCACCUUCUCCCAACACCACAUGUUCAUCACCACAAACUUUCUUUCUGUCCUUAGAUCUGCCACCCACCAAAGGAAGAGCAGUACAGUCUUCACUCAGUAUUUGCAGGGGAUUGGUUUCAGGACCCCCAAAGAUACCAAAAUCCAUUGAUGCUCAAAUCAAUGAAAUAAAAUCAUGUAGUGUUUACAUAUAACCCACUGCACAUUCUCUCGUAUACUUUAAAUCAUCUGUAGAUUAUUUAUAAUACCUAAUAAAGGUAAAUGCUAU